rnacentral:lncRNA from 10 species
GGCAUUAUAACAACACGGACCCUCUGGUCAAUGUUGGACUUUCAGCUUGCUGUUGUGAAAUUCUGUGCUGUGGAACAAAUCUGUAAUAAUUUUUUAAUUUGAGGUGCAUUCCUCGAGAGAAGAUUGACAGUUGCUUUUGCAGGUACUGGAUAUAUUAGCAAUCCAGAAUAUCUUUUUUUGUUUUUGUUUUCUUGUUGUUGUUGUUUUAAAGACAGGGUCUUGCUCUGUCAUCCAGGCUGGAAUGCAGUGGCACAAUCAUAGCUCACUGCAACCAUGGAUUCCUGAGCUCAAGCAAUCCUCCUGCCUCAGCCUCCUGAGUAGCUGGGACUAGAGCUGCACACCACCACACCUAGCUAAUUUUUAAAACUUUUUUAUAGAGAUGGGGUUGCCCCGGCUGAUCUUGAACUCCUGGGCUCAAGUGUUUCCCCUGCCUCAGCCUCCCAAAGUGCUGGGAUUACAGGCAUGAACCACCACAUCCAGUACAGGAUGUCUUUAAAUUAUGUUAUCAGUUUGGUGUUUCCAGAAUUCUUGGAGAGUAGAAAUUCUGUCCCUAAACUUGUGUGAUGGUAAAAUACAAAUUCUUAAACAUGUUUUUCUCCCGUUUACUCAGAGGCAAAAUCAAGGUAGACAAGUUUCCUUACUAACUCGUUAAGAAAGGCAGGAUUUUUUUUUUUUUUUAGUAUUACCCAGUGUGUGACUUUCAGGGUCUAAGCCUUAUGUAAAAUAAAAAGGUCUACAGUCAGACUUCCCACCUUCAUUAAUACCUGAGAAAUUAAUGAAAUAGAGAAUACAAAUAAAGAAAAAUCUAUCAAGUGUGGGCACUAGAUUUUGUCUCCUUU